rnacentral:rRNA from 1 species
CAAUAGCGUAUAUUUAAGUUGCUGCAGUUAAAAAGCUCGUAGUUGGAUUUCGGGUGGGAAUGGCCGGUCCGCCGUUUCGGUGUGCACUUGCUACGCCCACCUUGCUGCCGGGGACGUGCUCUUGAGUUCACGCUCGGGACACGGAGUCGGCGAGGUUACUUUGAGUAAAUUAGAGUGUUCAAAGCAGGCCUACGCUCUGAAUACAUUAGCAUGGAAUAACACGAUAGGUCUCUGGCCUAUCUUGUUGGUCUGUAGGACCGGAGUAAUGAUUAAGAGGGACAGUCGGGGGCAUUCGUAUUUCAUUGUCAGAGGUGAAAUUCUUGGAUUUAUGAAAGACGAACUACUGCGAAAGCAUUUGCCAAGGAUGUUUUCAUUAA